rnacentral:rRNA from 1 species
UACGAGGGGUGCAAGCGUUGCUCGGAAUUAUUGGGCGUAAAGGGUAGGUAGGUGGUCUCAUUUGUCUGGGGUGAAAUCCUUGAGCUUAACUCAAGAAGUGCCCUGGAAACGGUGAGACUAGAGUCUUGGAGAGGGUCGCGGAAUUCCCGGUGUAGCGGUGAAAUGCGUAGAUAUCGAGAGGAACACCUGCGGCGAAGGCGGGUAGCUGGGCCGACACUGACGCUGAUGCGCGAAAGCCAGGGGAGCGAACGGGG